rnacentral:lncRNA from 1 species
AUGCAAAUAGACCAGGCUCGUAUAGAGAUGCUUAGAAUAAAGAUGGAUGCCGCAGCCAAAAGGGUAAGGGCUGAGACUUUGGCCAAGGCCAUAAUUGAGCCACUCACAGAAGAAAAUGUAACCCAGUUACCAAUACAGGAUCCUUCUGCCAAAGUGUUUGCGCACCUUGGCAGCAUGAACAGCCAGUUUUCGGAUGAGGAACAGGGAGACUUCUCUCCUUACCCAGAGCAGGGUCCCAAAGUCACUUUUGAGUUUCCUGCAGAGCAGAGCGUCAUAGCGGGGAGCUCACCCUUGCUCGAGCUACCUGUGCCUCCUGCUAAAACCCUAGGUCAGUCAAUCAGGGCCUCAAGGCCGAGCGCUAGUUGGCCCCUACAGACAGCUGCACAGGGAACCAUCGAUUCGUCAGUGGUCGAUGUCAUCCCUCCAAGAGGCCAAAGGUUGACGCAAGGUACACGGUGGGAGUCCACUCCACAACAGCAAACUCCUCAAUUGUUCCCUUCGACGCCAGAGUCCCAGCUUGUCUCCAUCAUCAGAAGCCCCAGAAGAGAUCUUAAGGACAAGGGUGUCGAAAGGUUUUCGGACAAGCCUGAGGAAUUUCUUCUCUGGAAGGCCACCUUCCAGAGAGCAAUCAGAGACUUAAAGUUAUUGCCUGAGGAAGAACUGACUCUUCUGGCUGCAUGGUUGGGCCCAGCCUCAUCCUCACAAGUUAAGAAGAUCUACGCAGCCCACGUAGCCGAUCCCGACAAAGCCCUGGAAAAGGCCUGGGCCAGGUUGCAGCAGAGGUAUGGGGCCAGCACAGAGAUUGAAGCAUCUCUUAUGGACAAGCUCCAAAGGUUCCCAGCUUUAAAACUCAAAGACUUCAAACUCUUGUGGGACCUCAGCGAUCUCCUUGCGGAAUUAGAGUCGGCCAAGGAGAAUCCAGAACUGCCCGGUUUGAAGUGCCUCGAUCAGCACCUGUCCCAGAGGCAGAUCUUGACCAAGCUGCCCUUCACUUUGCAAGAACGCUGGGGACAGGAGGUCUUCAACUACAAGGAGGCCCACUCCCAGGCAAGCCCUCCAUUUCUCAUUUGUCCAGUUCAUCACCAGGGCAGCCAGAGAAAGGAAUGA